rnacentral:lncRNA from 1 species
CUUCAGCUGAGCACAGUUCAGGAGCUGUACCCUCACUAGACAGACAGCAAGUAUCUAUAAUACUGGCCUGGUGUUUGGGAAGAAGAUAGGACUGGAAAUACCUAAGAGAGUCAUCCAUUUAAGGAUGUUGGACGAAAGCAAUAUGAAGAUCAACCAGGAAGAGCAUGCAGAACAAGAAGACCAAGCAAAAGUGAACCCCUGGGGUCACUCCAGUUGAAGAAGGACAUGUUGUAAGAGGAGAUGGGCUGAGCAGAAGAACAGAGUAGAAUGUUGGGUAAGCCAGGAGUUUUCAAUAAACUCUGAACAGGGAACCUGUUAAGGGAUGGCUCUGGGAAAUGUUCUUAAAUGAUGUAUUUGCCUUAGUAAUGGAUGACAUCCUUGUUUAACUUCAUAACUCAGGUUCAGGGAAAGCCUAACUGAG